UUACAUGGUUGGGGGGUGCGUGACCCCAUACCUGUAAGACUACCCAUACGAGCCGAAGGCCCAAGGGGAAUACUACAACGCCUAAAAGCCACGGAGAAAAGGAAAAACACCGCACAUCAGCCCAGACUAGCGUCCAAAGGGGGUAAUUGAGUCUCGGUGAGCCCACAUACGUUCCAACAUCCUCGCCAGACGUGUAUGUAUACGGUUAUGUAUAUGUAUGUGUGUAUAUGUAUGUGUGUGAAUGCAUGUGCGUGUGGGGGGAGAGUGGCCGGUGAUACCCAGAGACUCCCGUAUUGAGUGAGCUUUUCAAGGGCUUGAUGUCUGUAUGUUUUUUUCGCUUGAUCCGGAAACCUUGAAGCUCCUAAAUCCUACGUCGUAACCCCCCAGGCCGGUUUUGCUCUCCAAGGUUUCUUGGCCACCCUGAUCACGGUGGGCCAGCUGCCGUGCAACAGCGUCCUUGAGGAGUCCGUCACCAACUCCUGUAAGUAGGCACCCAUCCAACUAAGCCUCAGGCCCCCUCGAACAGAUCUGAUCGGAAUCUAAAAAUCGGAUACUUUUUCCUCCUAUAUAUAAUCGUCAGGCAAUCUCAGAUGCGAUCAGAUCAAGCGCCGCGCUCAUCUCAUUCGGUUUGUUGAAGAGGCUUGAGGCCCCUACCCUGUCCCGCUCUUUGCUGGCGGUGGAUCGCCAUUCUUCGUUGACAGCACCGCUGGCCCCGUUACGUUACCCUCUUUCCCCAACAACGCCCCUAUGUUUGUAUAUCUGUUUGAGAGUUUUUUUCUCGCUUUCCUAAAGCCUUAACUCCGCUUUUCCUAAAUCUCCCCCCUCCACUUUUUCCCUCCUCCCUUUCUCCAUGGGUUCCUUGCUCGGCUCGGGCUCCUCCAGUGUUUUAUUUGUCAAUGAGCUGCUUUGGAAAGCCAGUUUUGUGCUGUCCGAGUCCCCCGCUGGGGCCACUCAAGCCGCCAAGCCCGCCAUCGCCCAGGCCUCCACGGCCGCCGCCGCGACCGCCCCCGCCGUUGCCGCCAAUCCUGCCUGCGGUAAUUACAAGACAGCCACCGCCGCCGCCGCCGCCAACGAUCCAGUCGCCGCCGCGGCCGCCACCAAUCCGGUCACCGCCACCGUCACCGCCACCGCCGCCUAAGAAGAAACGGAAGAAGAGGCCGCCACCGCCAAGCAAUCUGGGUUAAACAGUACCAAAGAAGGCCGCCAAGUGCUUCCGCCUCAACUGCACGGUUAUUGCCGCCGCCUCCAUCACCAUCACCACCGCUGCACCACCGCCCUCCACUGCCAUGUUGCAGUUAAUAGACCCCAACGAGCAGUUCCUGCUGACAGGGGAUUGUGAGAACGGGAGGGGGAAGGUUAAGGACAGGUAGUUGGGGUUCCAUGGCGAUGAUGUUGGUGGCGGCGUCAGGGCAUGCAGUACACAAUAACGGUGUGACACAGGUGAUCCUUCCGGCCAUCCUUCAUUCCUUGUGUGUGUACGUGUAUGCAUGUAGAUGUGGCUGGGUACCAUCUGGUGAUGUAUGAUGUGUGGGACAGGGGGCCAUAUCUUCACCCGUGGCCGCUACCCGGCGAAACCCUCCCUUCCCCGGUAUUUCGGAGCACCUUCAUCUAGUCACCCUAGUCAACUUCUCAGUGGAUCGCUUAGGUUCCGCACCCACCACCGGCGUCCAACGGAAUCUGCCGGAUCGACGGUGGCCCAACUCCAUUCCUGGUCAGCUCGUGAGUCAACUUUAUCGCAGGUCACCACGGUCCAUCGACUAGGGGCACUUUACCUUCCACCAUCGGAAGGAUUUUCGACCCCGAAAUUUUCUGGGGGCAAUGGUCCGUGCCUUACCAGUAAUGCCUAACCUGGGUAUAAUGUAUGUAUGUAUGCAUGCAUGUACGCUCGUUCGUUACAAUUAAUUUAUGUAUGGUAUUUGUUGUUGUUGUUGUUUCAUGGUCGUGGGUGCAUUCCCUGUACCUGCAAACCACCCUAAUACGAGCCGAGGGCUCAAGGGCUGCCAAAUCGCCUAUAAGCACCAUCCUACCUCGCACUUCCAACGAGACAAGUGAUGAAGUAUACUAACGACCAAAGGGAACGAUAGAGUUGUGGUGAGACCAUAUGCGUUCCAGCAUCCUUGCCAGGCGUUCAGGUUCCCACUUCAUAGCGUCCUUCAUAUGCUCGAAGCGUGGAAAGCCCAUAUCAGAUCUGAUUUCGUCGUACACCGGACAGUCCAGCAAAAUGUGUUUCUCAUCCUCGAUGUGGCUAUCAGUGCCGCAGCAAGGGCAUACUCGCCCCUCCCUAGGUAUAUAACGCCGUCCCUUACGCGCUCUGUUAGCCGCCAGUGCCCAACAGCAAAGCCUAAACUGCAUAAGCUUGCGAUUCGCUGAACGUGGGAUAAACAUUGUGAUAUGCGGGAGCACCUCCUUCCUGCCCGCUUGCUCGGCCGCCAGACCCAUCCAAUGCUUAUAUUUCGCCAUGUGGAUUCCUGGUAUGGAAGUAGUUGGCUCGCAUUUGCUUCGCAUUGCCUCGAUGAUAGUGCUGCUUCGUGUUGUCAACAUGCGCAACAUGUGUCCAUGUGCCAGCCGUCUGUCCGUAUGUCUGUGAUGUAUUCCGCCGUGUGACCAUGAAUUUGUGUUGUGAUAGAGUCGUACCCGUACGGGCCUUGCACCGGUUGUGUCUGCAGGGCCAUUGUGGUGGGUGACUAAGGGACGCUUUGGGGCUUGAGGGGUUGGGGGCCCCUCUUGAGGCUUGACCCCCUCCUUUCUCUUCUUCCUCUUCAUCUCAGCCCUUACUUGUCCCGGAACACAUCCGGACGUGAAAGAGAAAAGAGCGAGAAGGGGACAGGGGCAAUGCUGCAUGGCCGACCAGCAACAGCAGUUAGGGGGUUUAUCGGUUGAGUGUGGCAGCUGCUGUAUAAGGCUCCUUGGGGUCGCCUGGUAAUGCUGAACCAGGUGCCGCUGAACCACUUCUGCCGGAAUAGGUUUCUCUAAGUAAGGUUUGGGUGGGUAAGGCGCCUGGAAGAGUAGUAGCUGUACGAGCAGUAGCGAUUAAAACAAUGACAGCAGUAGCAGCAAUAGUAAGGGGGAAAAGGAGGAGGGUGUGCUGCCGCAAUAGGAGAACAAAAAGGAGGAGGGUGUGUUGCCGCAAUAUGGACUUACGAUUUGGUGGUGAGAUAGGCAGAGGAGGGUGGCGGUGAAGGAGGAAGAGCAAGGGGAAUCGACCCUGCUCAUGCGGGGGAUCGCGCUUCGCAGCCCCCUCGAUUGCCUCCGCUAGCUCGCGGAGCUGACAAACAGGACUCACUGGCCUGAGGCUGGUGAUCCGCUGAGCUGGUGGAGGUAAUGGAGAUGGAUUCUUGCGGUUGGCAGUCGGCAAUGGACGCCUCGGGCGUUCCUACCUAACUUAACCCUGGGAGCCUUCCCGGACGGUGCAUGCGUCCAACUGAUGGUGGGUACCGUAGAUCCCACAAAUAUGUUCUAUAGCCGCUGUCCGGCUAAUAAACGUUUAAUAGGGAAACGCCUUAGCAUAAAUUCACUUUGCGCAGAGUCACAUCGCAGCAGUACUAACGAC
rnacentral:lncRNA from 1 species